rnacentral:lncRNA from 1 species
UUGCAUGUAAAAAAUUAACUAUGAAAUUCAACCUAGGAUGGGUUCCUAAGAACCCAUCAUUUUUUCGGUGAGAUGUGGUGGCAGUGUCAUGGGAUGCAUGGAGACACAGCAACGGCGGCUGCAAUAAGAAGGCGGGCCGGUUCGUCGGUAGCUGCUGGUUUGCAUGGCUGGUUUAAGGCGGACACGUCAGUGGCUGGAGCAGAGCUCUUUGGUGGCUUUUGAUGCAGGCAACGGCGAUAGUGAGGUCCGACUAUCGUUAACAGUGCUUCGCCGGUCAUCACAUCUGGUGAAGCAGCAAUGAUGAGAGGCAGCAUUGAUCGAAGGUACGGUAGGAUGGCUGGCUCGCUGGUGAGCUACCAUUAUUUUUCCCAGCUGUGGAGAUGCAUCGGAUCUGGGCGACUAUGGCACUGGGCCUUCAUCGGUGUCGGCUGGUGUUGUUGCCCAUUUAACGGUGCUUAGUCGUCGGAGAGAAAAAUUGAGCAGAGGGGGUUUGGGUUGUGGGCGAACGCCGGUGGCGGAUGGACGGUGGCAGUUGGUGAGUUCUAGAAAGAAGGAGGAGAGAUAGAGAGAGAAAGUGGGGAUGGUGUGCGGUUGAUUUGGUGGAAUGAGUCUAGGGUUAGGGUUUUGAUUUUUUAAAAGGAAAGAAGGAGAUCGUUUGAUCUCAGUCGUUGGAUCAGUUUUGAUCGAAGGCUGAUAUUUAAUGGUUGAGGAAUUGGUCAAAAUUUAAAAAUAAUUUAAAAUUAAGUCCUAAAUUGACUAUAAUUGUAAUAAAUGGCUGAAAUUGGAAUGUCUUGGGUAAAAAAUGGACUAAAAGAUAAAUAAAUCAGGAAAAUUAAUUUAACUUUAGGCUGUUAUUUAAAUAAUAGUAGGGAUAAUAAUAGUAAAUAAUAUAUAAUAAUAAUAAUAAAUAAUAAAUAAUACUAAUAUUAAUAAUAAUAAAUGUUAUAAAAAAUGAUGUAUUUGGAAAUUGAGAGUAUGCCUAUUUAUGAAAAUAAUUAUCUAAAAUUAUGUCGAGAAAUAUUAUAUUUAAAUUAAUGAAUGAUACUGUAAGGUGGUAAAAUAAUUUGUAUAUUUUAAAAUCGUGAAUGGACACAUCAAAAUCUGUUUGACACAAGAAAACUGUGUAAAAGUAUCAACAUUUAAAAUUGGUAAAUUUUGUUAAAAUAACAUCCUAAAAUAAGUAUCAGGAGGUACAAAAUUAGGUGUUAAUAGCUGCCCCUUCGUUUCUUGGGAAUGAUAAAAGAAUUGUCAAGCAACAAAAGUUGAUGUGGUAGCCAAUUUUAUCCGACCGAGGAAGAUUCUUUGGAGUUAAAACAAUAGGAGGUGAUUUUAAAAAUAAUAUGGCUGAGACUUCGAUUUCAAGUCGCCUACAUAUCUCUGGUUUUAUGAGAAUCAGGCCGUUUGUAGUUCUAGAUUUAGGAAUGAACAAUAUUUCUAAAGAAUGUCAAUGAUAAAGGAUGGGCAUUCAAUAAAGGUGUUGUAGGUCGGUCAAUGAGACGGAAUUGAAUGGGAUUUGGAAUAGUGGCGUAUGGAGAAGUUUGAAAAUAUUGAGGUAGGUGAGGUGAUGGAUAAAUAGAUGGAGUAAUAUUUUAGAAACAAAAACUAAAAUUGUCUUUGUUUGUUAUUCCUUCUUUGUUACCUGCAUAUUUACACCGUACUAAAUAAAAAAGGUUAGACAUGUAAGAAAUAAACAUUUGAUAAAUAUAAAGUAAAGGUGGAGACAAGAAAGAUAUCUGUUGUAUUGUGGGAUCAGCGAUUUGGCUUCUCAAUGUACUGUGGAAUCAUGGGAUCAGUUGUUUGUCUUCUCAUUGUGGAGUAAUCUGUACCUAUUAGUCCUAUCACUCUUAGCUCAAUUGGAUAAAAUGGUUAGCAUGGAUAUAUAUGUAUGUAUAGAAGAUUUGAUCAAUAUAGUGAAAACAACCAAAACAAUAAUGAUAAGAAGAGAUAAGAAAGUGUAUCUGUCAUGAGAGAGUAAUGCUUUGUUCAUAUAAAAAUUUAAAGAGGUCGUGCUUAAUCCACACUAUAUCUAGUAAACCAAUAGCAUUUAAUAACACUGAGGCAGUUAUGCUUAGCAUGUUCAGCAGUAGAAAAUAAUAUUCAUUUUUUAGUAACCCAAUUGACUUUCAGAGGACAAUGCUUAGCCUCAGGCAGUUUCUCAAAUUUACAAAACAAUGCUUAGCUUCGAAUAAUUUCUCGAGAGAGGGUAAUGCUUAACCCAACUAAAUUUCAAGGACUAUGCUUAGCCUCAUUCAGUUUCUCAAAAAACAGUAGUGCUUAACCCACUUAACUUUCCAAGGACAAUGCUUAGACUUAGAGAGUUUUUGAUAGAGUAGUGCUUAACUCCAUCAAAUUUCUAAAACAAUGCUUAGUUCGGAUGAUUUCAUGAGAGAGAAGUGGUGCUUAACCCGACUAACUUUCAAGACAAUGUUUAGCCUUAGUCAGUUUCUCGAAAAAGGGCAGUGCUUAAACCACUUAAAUUUCUAAGGACAGUGCUUAGCCUUAGAGAGUUUUUGAUAGAGUAGUGCUUAACUCUAUCAAGUUUCCUAAAAAAUGAUUAGUUUGGAUGAUUUCUCGAGAGAGGGUAGUGCUUAACCCAACUAACUUUCAAGGACAAUGCUUAGCCUCAGUCAGUUUCUCGAAAAAGGGUAGUGCUUAACCCACUUAACUUUCCAAGGAAAAUGCUUAGCCUUAGAGAUUUUUUGACAGAGUCGUUCUUAACUCCAUCAAAUUUCUGAAACAAUGCUUAGCUUUGGAUGAUUUCUCGAGAGAGAGCAGUGCUUAACCCAACUAACUUUCAAGGACAAUGCUUAGCCUCAGUCAGUUUCUUGAAAGAGGGUAGUGCUUAACCCACUUAACUUUCGACGGACAAUGCUUAGCCUUAGAGAGUUUAUGAUAGAGUCGUGCUGAACUCCAUCGAAUUUUCAAAACAAUGCUUAGCUUUGGACAAUUUCUCGAGAGAAGGUAAUGCUUAACCCAACUAACUUUCAAGGACAAUGCUUAGCCUCAGUCAGUUUCUCGAAAGAGGGUAGUGCUAAACCCACUUAACCUUCCAAGGACAAUGCUUAGCCUUAGGGAGUUCUUGAUAGAAUCAUUCUUAACUACAUCGAAUUUCCAAAAUAAUGUUUAGUUCAAAUAAACUUAUUGAGAGAGGGUAGUACUUAACCCAAUUAACUUUUCAAGAACAAUGCUUAGCCUCAAGAAGUUUAUCUCGAGAGGGUAGUGAUUAACCCACUCAGAACAUAGGAUGAUAAUAAUUAACCUUAUAUUUUGUGAUGGUGUAUGAAAUGCUUGAGAUUUUUACCCGUCACUCUAUACCUACACUCAAAGAAAUAUUGUUAGUUUUAAAAAAGGAAAAAGAUUGAUUCGUGUCUCUGUCAAUUCCUUUGCCCAGGUCCUGAAUCCAUUGUCUUUAUAUCGCUUUCUUGAGAUGCAAUCCUUGAUGAAAAUUUGAGGAUCCUCAAAAAUUUCUGCCCCGGUUUCAUGGCCUCAAUCUUUCUAGCCUUGAAUUUGUUAAAAUGUUUCUUGAUAGAAUUUUUGAGACCCUCUCAAAAAUUCUUCCCCAGUUACAUGUCUCGUCCGUCUUAAACUUGUAGAAUCAUAGAAUUUUUGAAAUCCUUUCAAAAAUUUUGCCCCAGUUACUUGCUUCAGGAAAAUAUGAAAGUUUCAUUGUGAUGAGACCGAACUCAAUAGGAGCGCCUGCGUAUCCCUCUUAAAUGGGAAUCAAGUCAAAUGUAGUUCAAAGUACAUAGGAGAAAUUCGUAUUGUUCCAAGCAUGUGUAAAGAUUAUAGUAACCCAAGUACUUGAGAUACUGAAAUGAGAAGACGACGUGAUAUCCCUUCCUUAAUGUUAGAGACGCCAGUUCUUAAUCAACAUCAAGAUAUGGCCCCAUCACAUUUAUCGCUUUGGUAUCAAUCAGUGCUUGAAUUUUGUCCUUUAAAACACGCCAUUCUUCAGUGGUGUAGCUUGUCAUCCUUGAAUGAUAAGCACAAACUUUGAAAUAAUCAAUCCAUUUAGCAUAUGUAUUCAUUACAAUUGCAGAAAUUGAAGUAAUGUAGCCAUCAACCCUUAAUCUCUCAUAAAGUUGGUCUAUAGGCUCAGCCAAAGGAGUGUACUGUCUUGAUAAUUUUUUUAAAGCUUGGCUUAAGGUAUGAUAAAUUGAUUGGGUCGUAGAUUUGUUGGUGCAUAAGCUAAUGGUUGUUAGAAAGUAGUUGAAAGAAUUUGUGAGCACGCAGGUAGUGCGAGAUAGUUGGUAGGACUAUAAGAUAGUAUGGGGUAAUUCUAUGUCGUUGCGGGGAAUGAAGGUGCUUGAUAUAUGGGUGUUUGGUAUUGAAGCGGAGGAGGUGGUGUUUGGUUUUUGGGAUUUUGAGUAGUCAAGAUAGUAUUUACUUCCUUCAUGUUAUUAUUCUCAUCAGCCUGUAAAGUCUUAAUCGCUUGCAGUGCCUCCAAAUUCGUUAUCAUGCCAUUUUAAUGACUUCUUCAAUUCUCUCGCCCAAUUUGAUGAUGUCAACAAGCUUUUGAUCCUCUAUAAGAAUCAUCCUUUCAUAAUAUUGUGGCUCUUGGGAACGUAUGAAAAAUUCUUUCAUUUGACCUUCCUCUAAAGGAGGAUGCACCUUACAAGCUUCACGUAUCCACCUCAAUCCAUAUACUCAACACGAUUUUGUAGGUUUCUUCUUUAACUUCUGAAUGUAGAACGAAUCAGGCACAUUCUAAAUACUAAACCCAAAUCUUUCUAUAAAAGCCGAGGCUAUGUCGAUCCAUUUCGACCAUUUUGUUGCAUCUUGUGGACAUACCAUGACAAAGCAUCUUCAGUGAGACUUUUAUGAAUAAUUUCCUAAGAAUCUACUCGUUUUUUCCAACUCUAACUAGCUUGUAGUAGUAUAGUUUCAAAUGGACUUUCAAAUCUCCAGUCCCAUUGUACAUUUCAAAUUUAGAAGGUUUGUAACUCCUGGCAGUUCAACGUCAGGGUGCACGCAUGGGUCCUCAUAACUUAGCCCUUUCAACUCUUUAUUACCUUCAAGUUGUUCCAAUCUUUCAACCACGGAUUGCAUAAGGGCAGCAUUUUCUAAAGGUUUGGAUUUAUAUUGGUGGUAGGUAAAUAGGGUCGUUUUGUCAUAACUCAAAUGUAAAGUAUGGCUGCUUGGAUCAUGAAAAUGAGGCAUAUUUGUGGUAAAUGUUGGCGGCAUAUUAUGGACAUAUGAUGAUAUUUGCAAAUUUAGUAGGACUGGAUAUGUGUGGUAUUGUGGUAGACAAGAAUGUGGAUAUGAGUUAUGUUUAGGAAGCGUGUAUAUGUGAUUUGAAUUGUUUGGGGGUUGUGAAAUAGGAAGUGAUGGUAAGGGAUGACUUGUGAAGAUGGGAUGGGAUUUAAUAGUUGUGUUACCCUCAAUUUGUGGUUUGAGAGGAGAAUUCAAAGCAAGGGGUAGAUUAGAUAAGUUACGGGCUUGUGACAAUUUCCUUUGUAGUUGAAGGAUUCUUUGCUCUAUUUGUAAGAUCAUCUCAUUAUGCUCAUUUCUAGCAUCGUUGUUAUCACCCAUUUCAUUGUUUUGGUGACUAAGCUUUAAGAGAAGGAGACUGAGCCUUGAUGGGCGAGAUAAUGCACGAAUCAAUCCUUUGGGCGUGAAAGAAAAAAUAAAUAAAAUUAAAAUUAAAAAGAAGAAAGAAAAAAAAGUUAAGUUAGUAAGAUAUGUAGUGAAAAAAUAAACAUGUUAAUAUGCCAGAAUAAAAUGUUUUAUAAUGUACGGAGCCUUAUUAAGUCCGAAGUAGGUCGAGAAUGACAAAUAUAUAUGACUUACGAUAUUAUAAUCCAAGUCUGACGUAAAAGAAGUUUGGAAUUAGAAAUUCCUAACCACAUUUGCUCAAUCUUUGGUUCAGAUUACUUUAUCACGAUCACAAGAAGCAUAGCAUGAAUAUUUAUUGUUGGUAGGAUAAGGCGAGAAUAAAGAAAUAAAUUUCAAAUAGUGUUUCUCCUUGGGCGAGAAGAAAAAUGAUGAAAUUUUUUUGCAUGUUUGUCAUAACGCAGAUUUUCAAAUGAAUCGAUGUUUGAAAAAUAGCAAUUUGAACAAAACAGGAGCGAGUGUACCUAGUAAGAGAAGAGAUAGUAUGAUAAUAUGAGUCAUUUUGUCAAAGAGGACUUUAGGACGAAUGGGUGGGUUGGGAUUUAAGCUUUAGAAGUGAAUUGAUGUUAAAAGACAAAAGAUAAAUGAUAAACAAGACUUAGGUACUGUGCAUACUUGGAGUUGAUGGGGUGAACAAGUAAAUAAUGAUAAGAUAUUAAAAGAUGCACGUAGAAUGUUGAAGGCAUUUUAUUUUGAAAAGAGGGGAAGAUUGAAGAUUUAAAAAUUUUGACGUAUUUUGUUUGAAAUAUUUUGAGAAUUUGAAAGAUUGUAAAAGGUCGUUGGAAUAAAAAGCUUCUAAUUCUCACCCUUAUGACAUUAUGGAAUGGUGGUGAAAGAUAUAGAGAAUAUGAUUUGAUAGAAAAAACUACUGGACUGAUCACAUUUUCAAAAAUUAGGACGUUUUGUAAAAUGGAGGGAAAAGAAAGACCGUAUCCUUAUAAAGGAUUGCCUACAUAUCUUGUUGGAACAAGAAUCAGGUCAGACGUAAAUCAAAAUUUUGAGAGUUAUAUAAGUUGAAUAACAAGUGAGGAUGUUGGAGGAUUUUGAAUAGGCCCUAAGAGUGUAUUGUAGGGUCCUAACAUUGUACGAACUUUAAGAGUAAAGAGCUCUAAAGUGAGGCACACUAAAUGUAAGGAGUGACUAAGGCAAUAACGGAAACAACAAGAUAAGUAGGAUGUCAAUACAUACAUAGAAAUGCAGAACAUAACAAAUAAUUUUGAGUCCCUUUGAGGUCGUGAACCUCUUUGAACUUUGAAUGAGACUAACAUUCAAUGCGUCAAGGAUGCCAAGGCAUCCUACGUUGAAUGGGACGCAUAUUCCUUAAUAAAAGAAAUAUGUAGCUAAAACCUAAAGGGCAAGAGUGGGUUAAUGACAUAGUUCCCUCGAGUGGACAACUCGAGAGUGGGAAAACUUGUGGUUGUCAACGCACGGCUGAUUGACCGAUCCAUAAGGCAUUUCUCGAAGGGUGUUUUAGGAAAGAACGUCCGUGCAACCACGCAAUUGUUCGUACAAAAAAAAUAAAGGAGAUCCCAAGUGGAGGAAAGUAUGAGCGGGAUACCAAUUAUAUAAAGCAGUAAGAAUAGCACAUAGAAACAUAUAAUAACAUGCUUUAGUAAUAAAAAAAAUAAACAUUAAAACACAUAUCCAAUAAAAGAAAAGUAGACAUGGAGAAAUAUUAAUAACACAAAAAGGAAAAAGGAGAAAGGACUAAUAAAUCAUGAUGUAAGUAAACGAUAAAAGAAGAACAUAUAAAAAAUAAAUUAAGAUGUCAAACAUCAUCAAAACAAAAGGAGAGAAUCCUACAUGAAGCACAAAUUUGUAAUGGUUAGAACUUAAAAUCCCCAGCAGAGUCGCCAUUCUGUCGCGCCCCAUUUUCCUUGCAAAAAGCGAGAUUCGACGUGACCACUCUUUUUGGAAUUAUUUCGAGAGGAGAGUGAAGAGUCGCCACCUAACUAAUUAAGGUGUGUUAGGGCACCAGUCUAAGCCAACUACAAACCUUUUUUAUUGUUUUGUCUUAGCUCACAAGAAAUUUGGUUAAGAGUUCAAAUUACAUCAAAAGAAAGUGUUAGGCACCUUUUGAGGUCCACGAAGGUAGUUUCCGACCGAAUUCAUAUUUUACGUGGGUAUUCUACGUGCUCAAAUAAGGUCGCUUAUUUCAUUAUUAAUUGAUGCUAACUAAGUGAUAAAAUAGUAAAUAAGUAAACAUGUUAUUUAAUUAUUUUUAAUUAAUAAUUAUCUAUGUGAUAAAAAUCAAUUAAACAUAGGAGAAGAAAGAAAUGACAUGAGUAUAUUAAAUUAAGAAACAUAAACUAUCCUAAAAAAAAUAUAGUAUUAAUUGAAUUAAUAAAGUAAACCAUUUUCAAUUUGAAUAAAGUUGUUUGAAGAAAAUGUUUGUCACUUUUAUAGAAAAGAUGUCACGAUAUUAUUAAUCACGCCCUUUUACCUUGGCAACAAUUUUGAUUGGAGAUCGGUCUUAAGUAAAAAUAAUAAUAAUAUAAUUUUUAAAAGACAAGUGAAAAUUUGAGUAUCAAAAUAUAACACAUAAAAAUAUUUAUAUAUGUAUAAAUAUACACAUAUUCAAAAAAAACAUUGGUUAGUGGUAUUCCCGAGGACGCGUCGGCUUGCUUUUAAAAUAUGAGAAUUAAAAAUCGUAAUUCUUUUUACUUUCCCGCCAACUAUAAGUUAGGAGAUAGUGUAUAUGUAAUUAAUAAUUUUUAAAAGACAUUGUCCAAUUCAAGUUGUAAAAAGCCAGAAAAAAAGAAUUAAACCAAAAUGUUAGCAAUUAAUGUUGUGUUUUAAAAAUGUUUGCAUAAACAAAGUAGGAAAAUUAGUUAAUAUGCUGAAAAUAUUAUUUGAAGACUGAAAAUUAACAUAUAAUUGUUGAGAAUGUGAUUUAAAAUGCGAAAAUGUCAUUUGUUAUAUGUCAAAGUUAUGCCAAAAGUAAAUAAAUUUGUUGUAACCUAAGUUGACAUAUUCAAACGUGAUUUAACGAGGCAAAAUUAAUUAAACUCCUAAAAGUAUGAUUUAUAAGAGAUUAAAAUAAAUCCUAAAUUAGGUUUGCCUAAGUGAUUUGCAUAAUACGUAAAGCACAUAAAUCCCUUCCCCCAAAACAGUCCCAUAAAUAUUAUUACAACAUAUCCUUUGUACAAUAAUCCUCACAGGCCAAUAUUAAAUGAAAUAAAAAAAAAAAAUACGAAGAGCUAGAUUGGAUAGCUCUUAACGACUACAUGCCAACUCUGUCUCGUCUAAAUACUUGUCCUUAACCUGUGAUAACAAAGAAAUAACCAAAACACAUUCCGAAUCUAGAAUACCUUUAGUGACACAUAACCAACCUUUGAUGCUGUCGAGAUCCUGGGGAUCCCAGGCAGGCUCAUGCCAAAGAAGCUAUGUGACGUGUAAAUAAUAUUUCAGAGUCACGUACAACAAGCAUGCUAAUGGAAAAGAACAUUUAGAAAAAGAAAAUAUGUCACAACUAAUAUGAAUACCCAAUAAGAGUCACGGAAAUACAAAAAAAAAAUAGGAGGUUCAUGUCGUCAAGCAUUUAAAGUAUGCAAAUCCAAGCAAAAAUCAAAACCACAUAGUAUAAAAGGAACUAAUGCAUCGUUGAAGAAAACUAACCGCUUUACAGCACAAUUACAAAAGAAGAUUGAACUUUCAAGAGUAGAUAAGAAGUCGUACGAGCAAACAAGAAUUAGCGAUCUCAAAGUAGAAGCAGCAAGCAAAAUUUAGCACUAAGUGUAGUGUAGAAUAGGGUAGAAGUCAGAGUACGAGUGUAAGAUAAGAGGUCUGACAAUUGAAAGAGAGGAUAUUUAUAUAGCAAAGGAGUAGAGAAAAUAAAAAGACAGAGAAUAUUUGCAAAUUCAAUCAAAUCAAUUAAAGAAAAAUAAACAGCUCCUAUUUACCUAAAUAAACAAGUCAGAAUAUUAUUUGAUCUUCAAGAGGCCAUCACUAGGUUUAGUGUAGAAGUGUAAGAUAAGAGGUCUGACAAUUGAAAGAGAGGAUAUUUAUAUAGCAAAAGUGUAGAGAAAAUAAAAGGAAAGAGAGUAUUUGCAAAUUCAAUCAAAUCAAUUAAAAAAACAUAAACAACUCCUAUUUACCUUAAUAAACAAGUCAGAAUAUUAUUUGAUCUUCAAGAGGCCAUAAAAAUAGGGAUACCAAUGGAUACUUCCCAUGUUAAGAAACGUAAUCACAUCAAAUUAGCACAGAAUAGAUCCAAUUAUAAUUGGGGGUAAACAUCUAUUUGUAUCAAAACUCCACAUGCUUAGCAAGCAAAAAUCACAAUACACCCAAAGAACUACUAUACUGUUGUAAUUGCGCUAGUAAUCCAAUUAACCGGUUCAAAUUUUCGGAGUCAAAAUUAUGACAGUAGACAAUGAAAUUGCAUUCCUAAAAUGAAAUCUAGGAUUAAUGAAAAAUUCAAAAUUUGUCAUUUUACAUAAAACAAACGUGAAACCAGAAAAACAGACCAACAAUAAAACCAUAAAUUUUAAGUUUAAAGAAAAGAGUAGCAGAAGAGAAUUAUAAUUGCAUGUAAAAAAUUAAAUACGAAAUCCAACCUAGGAUGGGUUCCUAAGAACCCAUCAUUUUUUCGAUGAGUUGUGGUGGCAGUGUCAUGGGAUGCACAGAGAGACAGCAAUGGUGGCUACAAUGAGAACGAAGGUUGGUUCAUGGGUAGCCGCUGGUUUGCAUGGCUGGUUUGAGGUGCCACGGCGACGGCUGGAGCUACGGAGCUCGGUUUUGAUGUCUUUUGAUACGAGCAGCGGCAAUGGUGAGAUCCGGCUAUCAUUAACAGUUCUUUACUGGUCAUCACCUACGAUGAAGCAGCAAUGAUGGGAGGCGACGCUGAUCGGAGGUGCAGUGGGACGUUCGGCUCACUGGUAAGCUGCCGUUAUUUAUUUCAGCGAUGGAGAUGUACCGGAUCUGGGCGACGAUGGCGCUGGGCCUUCACCAGUGGCGGCUAGUGUUAUUGCCUGUUCAACAAUGCUUAACCGUCAGAGAGAAUAAUAGAGGAGAGGGGGUUCGAGCUGUGGGCGGUCACCGGUGGCGGCUGGUGAGUUCUAGAGAGAAGGAGGAGCGAUAGAGAGAGAAAGUGGAGGUGGUGUUCGGUUAAUUUGGUGGAAUGAAUCUAGGGUUAGGGUUUUGAUUUUUUAAAAGAAAAGAAAGAGAUCCUUUGAUCUCA